UUUUUUCUCUGUCUUGCAAACUCCUGCUCAUCCUUUAAGGUCAGCCUCAGAUGUCACAACCUCUGUGAAGCUCUCCCCAGCUCUCCUAGAAUCAUGUCAUCUUGACAGCUAUGAAUUCCUUAAAGCCAUUUUAAACUGAGGUACUGUUUCACCUUUCUAAUUUAGUUUAACCUUGUGAAAUUUCACUGUGUUUUGUUCAGGUGGAAACAUUUUAUGUACAUUAUCGGAUUUGGUAUUGUCUUCCUAUAAGAAAAUAGGGAUAUGAGCUUUGGAGCUUUAGUUGAAAUUAUAUUAAUCUAGUCUUAUAAACAACAGGAGGGCAUCUGACAUCAGUUAGAGGCUGAUUGGAAAAGAACUGUUGAGCUGACGAUGCUAACUUUAAAAGUCAGA
rnacentral:sRNA from 1 species